GUAGUCCCGGCUGUAAACGAUGUCGACUUGGAGGUUGUGCCCUUGAGGCGUGGCUUCCGGAGCUAACGCGUUAAGUCGACCGCCUGGGGAGUACGGCCGCAAGGUUAAAACUCAAAUGAAUUGACGGGGGCCCGCACAAGCGGUGGAGCAUGUGGUUUAAUUCGAUGCAACGCGAAGAACCUUACCUGGUCUUGACAUCCACAGAACUUUCCAGAGAUGGAUUGGUGCCUUCGGGAACUGUGAGACAGGUGCUGCAUGGCUGUCGUCAGCUCGUGUUGUGAAAUGUUGGGUUAAGUCCCGCAACGAGCGCAACCCUUAUCUUUUGUUGCCAGCGGUCCGGCCGGGAACUCAAAGGAGACUGCCAGUGAUAAACUGGAGGAAGGUGGGGAUGACGUCAAGUCAUCAUGGCCCUUACGACCAGGGCUACACACGUGCUACAAUGGCGCAUACAAAGAGAAGCGACCUCGCGAGAGCAAGCGGACCUCAUAAAGUGCGUCGUAGUCCGGAUUGGAGUCUGCAACUCGACUCCAUGAAGUCGGAAUCGCUAGUAAUCGUGGAUCAGAAUGCCACGGUGAAUACGUUCCCGGGCCUUGUACACACCGCCCGUCACACCAUGGGAGUGGGUUGCAAAAGAAGUAGGUAGCUUAACCUUCGGGAGGGCGCUUACCACUUUGUGAUUCAUGACUGGGGUGAAGUCGUAACAAGGUAACCGUAGGGGAACCUGCGGCUGGAUCACCUCC
rnacentral:rRNA from 1 species